CAACCCUGCGUCUCCCUUCCCUUCACUCAGGGAUUGAGAAGGAAGCUGAAACAUCCACCUUGUCAGUAGGGAAGAAAAGGCAACAAAAGCUCUCAACCUACAGUUUUUAUUAAGUAAUACUGAUGCUAGAGUGAUGGAGACUAAGGUUCACCCAAUAAACCCUGGGGCAGGACAGGAUGGGAGGAUAGAACACGAGGCAUUUCUGGCAACAGUGGGGCAGAGAGCUGAGAAGAGCCUGGCCUGGGACCCAUCUUCACUCCAGGUGGUGGCCCGGUCCUGCCAGUCUAUUCUAGGUUUGUGGAAUGCAAGUGACGUCGUGGCAUCCUUGUCCAAAGGAUGACACACACGGAGGAGAAAAGCCCAAUCCUU
rnacentral:lncRNA from 1 species